rnacentral:rRNA from 1 species
AGCUUGCUCUGUGGAUCAGUGGCGAACGGGUGAGUAACACGUGAGCAACCUGCCCUGGACUCUGGGAUAAGCGCUGGAAACGGCGUCUAAUACUGGAUAUGAGAUGCGAUCGCAUGGUCGUGUUUGGAAAGAUUUUUCGGUCUGGGAUGGGCUCGCGGCCUAUCAGCUUGUUGGUGAGGUAAUGGCUCACCAAGGCGUCGACGGGUAGCCGGCCUGAGAGGGUGACCGGCCACACUGGGACUGAGACACGGCCCAGACUCCUACGGGAGGCAGCAGUGGGGAAUAUUGCACAAUGGGCGAAAGCCUGAUGCAGCAACGCCGCGUGAGGGAUGACGGCCUUCGGGUUGUAAACCUCUUUUGGUAGGGAAGAAGCCUUCGGGUGACGGUACCUGCAGAAAAAGCGCCGGCUAACUACGUGCCAGCAGCCGCGGUAAUACGUAGGGCGCAAGCGUUAUCCGGAAUUAUUGGGCGUAAAGAGCUCGUAGGCGGUCUGUCGCGUCUGCUGUGAAAUCCCGAGGCUCAACCUCGGGCUUGCAGUGGGUACGGGCAGACUAGAGUGCGGUAGGGGAGAUUGGAAUUCCUGGUGUAGCGGUGGAAUGCGCAGAUAUCAGGAGGAACACCGAUGGCGAAGGCAGAUCUCUGGGCCGUUACUGACGCUGAGGAGCGAAAGGGUGGGGAGCAAACAGGCUUAGAUACCCUGGUAGUCCACCCCGUAAACGUUGGGAACUAGUUGUGGGGUCCUUUCCACGGAUUCCGUGACGUAGCUAACGCAUUAAGUUCCCCGCCUGGGGAGUACGGCCGCAAGGCUAAAACUCAAAGGAAUUGACGGGGACCCGCACAAGCGGCGGAGCAUGCGGAUUAAUUCGAU